AGAUGAUGACCCGGAGCUGAAGGCUUUCUCUCCACUGGCCUCUCGGUCAACUGUGCUUCACUUUGGCUCACAGAAUAACCUCAACUAAGAAUAUAUGCAUCAGCCCUCACUGCGUGUCUGACGGUGGACUACUGGAGGUCUUCACAGGCUCGACGAGAAUGCAGAACUGUCCACUACAUUUACUCUCCUUUCUAGAUCCUUCCAGCAGGUUUACACAGAUGAGGCUGUCGGCAUCUUUUUACACAGCAUUCACAAUUUAGCACACAUUAAAGACAUGAUGGUGUGGUACCCACAUAAACGUUGGCCAACUUACUGAAAAAUUAUUUUAGGUUACUUUUAAAUGGGUCAGAUGAUAUAUUUUCCUUUCAGUAUACACACACUCACACAGAUACUUAUACAUAUAUAAAGAGUAAAAAUGCUGGGUAUUAACACUGCUUAUGAUUUUGUGCUAUAUAAAUAAAACUUGAACUUGAGUUGCAUUUAGAAUUUGAA